CCCGCUCAGAAACUACAAAGGAAGUUAGACGGGGCCCGGCACAAGCGGUGGAGUAUGUGGUUUAAUUCGAUGCAACGCGAAGAACCUUACCUGGUCUUGACAUCCCGGAGACCCUUAGGAAACUAGGGGUGCUUCCAUCUGGAAGAAUCUGGAGACAGGUGCUGCAUGGCUGUCGUCAGCUCGUGUCGUGAGAUGUUGGGUUAAGUCCCGCAACGAGCGCAACCCUUGCCUUUAGUUGCCAGCAGUUCGGCUGGGCACUCUAAAGGGACUGCCGGUGUUAAACCGGAGGAAGGUGGGGGAUGACGUCAAGUCCUCAUGGCCUUUAUGACCAGGGCUACACACGUACUACAAUGGCCGAUACAAAGGGCAGCGACACUGCGAGGUGAAGCCAAUCCCGUAAAAUCGGUCUCAGUCCGGAUUGGAGUCUGCAACUCGACUCCAUGAAGUUGGAAUCGCUAGUAAUCGUGGAUCAGCAUGCCACGGUGAAUACGUUCCCGGGCCUU
rnacentral:rRNA from 1 species